GACGAACGCUGGCGGCGUGCUUAACACAUGCAAGUCGAGCGGUAAGGCCCUUUCGGGGGUACACGAGCGGCGAACGGGUGAGUAACACGUGGGUGACCUGCCCUCAGCUCUGGGAUAAGCCUGGGAAACCGGGUCUAAUACUGGAUAUGACUCCAUGACGCAUGUUGUGGGGUGGAAAGCCUUGUGCGGCUGAGGAUGGGCCCGCGGCCUAUCAGCUUGUUGGUGGGGUGAUGGCCUACCAAGGCGACGACGGGUAGCCGGCCUGAGAGGGCGACCGGCCACACUGGGACUAAGACACGGCCCAGACUCCUACGGGAGGCAGCAGUGGGGAAUCUUGCGCAAUGGGCGAAAGCCUGACGCAGCGACGCCGCGUGAGGGAUGACGGCCU
rnacentral:rRNA from 1 species